GAGCUGAAGGGUGGCAGUUCCUGAUAUCUCAGCACCUCCUCCACCUCCGCUGUGACUGGCAAGAGCUGAGUGUGCGGCACUGGUAUAGUAUGAAGGGAGGAAAAAGUCUUUGUGACAGAGAAGGAAAAAGGGACAGGUGGUCAGAUGGAACAAGAAGGCCCCCAGCCAGCUCUUUGAAAGAAGAUAAGGAAACUGAAGCACAGAGAGGUUAAAUUACCUGAUCUAGGUCACACAGCCAGUGAGUGUCAAAAGCAAGAUGUGAGCCAGGCAGCCUGCACUGCUACCACUACGCAAUGAAAACAUGUGUUAUCCCAGGCUUGUGAUGACAAUGAUUUUGAAAAGCUAAUUAGAAGAAUCUUCUUUCUUCCCCUAGACCUGAUUUAAAUAGCACACUGGUUCUUAUUCCACAUCCUUCUGCUUCUAUGGAGGAAUUUUUAUUUCUUCAGUCAAAAGAUGCAGGAAAGACAUCCUACCUCUUGGAAGAAUCAUUGGACUGGACAUCCAAACACCUGAGUCCUAGCCUUGAGUCUGCCUCUCACAGCAGUAUGACCCUGGGCAAGUCCUUGUGGAAUAAGGGCAUGGACAGAAUGAUGUCAGAGGUUCCUUCUAGCUCUAAUAUUCUACAGUUUCCUUUUAGUUCAAAUUUAAAGACAAAAUGUCUAACAGUGGUUCUUGUUUGUUAUGACCAGUAUUGUCAAAAGAGAAGUUGUACAAGUUUUUUUUGCCUGUUUUUCAUGUAUGUGUGAGUGCGUGUAUCCUUUAAAAAGCAAAGAAAUGCUCUCUGGUCUAAAAUGCUUUGGGUAUGAUCUCUUUCAAAGACAGAGGGAUGACCGAAGUGGGAUAGAGCCAAUUACAAUACUUGGGAAAUUGUCAAAGUAACUGACUCCUUCUUGCCUAUAGAUGAAUAUUUUCUUCUUCUUGCUUACCUUUUCUUCUUUCUCCUCCUCCUUUACCAGCCUCUCUAGCCUGAGUUCUCACUCUCUCACUAUCUCCUUCCCUCUUCUCCCUUUUCUUUUUAUCUUAACUCAUAAGCCUUUUAAUUUCUCCCAAAAGGACCCACUAAUAGAACUCAAGAUUAAGAAAUAUAUCAAUUGCUAUAGUAGAGCAAUCUUUCAUUUUUUUCAAAUUCAUAAAAUAAUUAAAAUUACAGGGCAUAUCAAAUGGCCAUUUUGGCUAAAUGCUUAAUCAUUAGUAUUGAUUAAAAUCAACAUUCUGCCAAACCUGAGGUUAAAGCAGAGGUUAAAUCAAUUUUGGAAUAUGAGAGUGCCUGAACUUUUCUAUUUAAAAAUUAAUUAUAAUUAGAAUCUUAUUAACAUUUUUAAUAGUCA